rnacentral:rRNA from 1 species
GCUCAGAGUGAACGCUGGCGGCAGGCCUAACACAUGCAAGUCGACGGCAGCACAGUGGUAGCAAUACCAUGGGUGGCGAGUGGCGGACGGGUGAGGAAUACAUCGGAAUCUACCUUUUCGUGGGGGAUAACGUAGGGAAACUUACGCUAAUACCGCAUACGACCUUAGGGUGAAAGCGGAGGACCUUCGGGCUUCGCGCGGAUAGAUGAGCCGAUGUCGGAUUAGCUAGUUGGCGGGGUAAAGGCCCACCAAGGCGACGAUCCGUAGCUGGUCUGAGAGGAUGAUCAGCCACACUGGAACUGAGACACGGUCCAGACUCCUACGGGAGGCAGCAGUGGGGAAUAUUGGACAAUGGGCGCAAGCCUGAUCCAGCCAUGCCGCGUGGGUGAAGAAGGCCUUCGGGUUGUAAAGCCCUUUUGUUGGGAAAGAAAAGCAGUCGGUUAAUACCCGAUUGUUCUGACGGUACCCAAAGAAUAAGCACCGGCUAACUUCGUGCCAGC